rnacentral:rRNA from 1 species
GACGUAGGGCGCGAGCGUUGUCCGGAUUUAUUGGGCGUAAAGAGCUCGUAGGCGGCUUGUCGCGUCGAAUGUGAAAACUCGGGGCUCAACUCCGAGCUUGCAUUCGAUACGGGCAGGCUAGAGUUCGGUAGGGGAGACUGGAAUUCCUGGUGUAGCGGUGAAAUGCGCAGAUAUCAGGAGGAACACCGGUGGCGAAGGCGGGUCUCUGGGCCGAUACUGACGCUGAGGCACGAAAGCGUGGGGAGCAAACAGG